AAUCCAUGAUGUGGGAUUGAAUUAAGCAAGUCCUUAAAUCUUUCCCAAACCUGAUAAAACGACUCCCCCUCCUUUUGUUUGAAAGUUUGGAUUUGAGAGAUGAGAGC